rnacentral:rRNA from 1 species
UACGGAGGGAGCUAGCGUUGUUCGGAAUUACUGGGCGUAAAGCGCACGUAGGCGGCUUUGUAAGUUAGAGGUGAAAGCCCGGGGCUCAACUCCGGAAUUGCCUUUAAGACUGCAUCGCUUGAAUCCGGGAGAGGUGAGUGGAAUUCCGAGUGUAGAGGUGAAAUUCGUAGAUAUUCGGAAGAACACCAGUGGCGAAGGCGGCUGCACUGGACUGGUAUUGACGCUGAGGUGCGAAAGCGUGGGGAGCAAACAGG